rnacentral:rRNA from 1 species
AGCUCCACGAGCAUGUACGUAAGUUGUUGCAGUUAAAAAGCUCGUAGUUGGAUCUCAGGCUCGUAGCCAGUGGUCCGCUCAGUAUGAGUGUGCACUGCUGUGCUCGGCCUACGUCUGGUUUACGUUCGUAGUGCCCUUAACUGGGUGCUGCGGAAUGCCAGAAGGUUUACUCUGAAAAAAUUAGAGUGCUCAAAGCAAGCUGUUAUGCUUGAAUACUGUUGCAUGGAAUAAUGGAAUAGGACCUCGGAUCUAUUUUGUUGGUUUUCGGAGUCGAGGUAAUGAUUAAGAGGGACAGACGGGGGCAUUCGUAUUGCGCCGUUAGAGGUGAAAUUCUUGGAUCGGCGCAAGACGAACAACUGCGAAAGCAUUUGCCAAGGAUGUUUUCAUUA